UCAUCAACGUCACUACCAGCAAAAGUAAUACUAGUGUCAUCGGCGUACAUCCUUGGUUGGGAAUGCUGGAGGCAAUUAGGCAAAUCAUUUAUACAUGUAUACAAUAGAAAUAAAAGGGGCCCAAGAAUCGUUCCCUGUGGAACACCACAGCGAAGGAACAUUUUGGACGAUUUAUUCCCGUUUACAAGACACGUUUGGGUUCGGUUUUUUAAAUAAGAGCAGAACCAUUGAUUUGUGGAACCCUGAAUACCAUAAGCUUGUAAUUUUGAGAGAAGAAUAGAGUGAUCCACAGUAUUGAAAGCCUUCUUAAGAUUGACCUGAUCAAUUAAUUCCAAGACAAUUGCAAAUGGCAAGUGCAUUUCUACUUGGAUAUUUCAGUUGGAAAUUUUGGACUGCCUUUCAAGGUGUUCCAUUUAUUUACAAAAUUUCCUGUUCAGUUGAGCUAAAAUUGUCUUACCAUUUGGGGUAAAUGGUAAUAAACAACUAUUGUUAUCAUGCCUUGGAGUUGAAGAUUUGUCUCUUGGCGGCUACAUGGUAUGGAGUCAUUCUUGGUCGAGCAACCCAACAGUUAAAUUCACUGUUGAAAAACCAGACCAACCUAGAUGAAAAAUUUUAUUUAUUUUUAAUUUCAGGAUCCUAAACUGAGGCGGUUGGCAUAUACAGCAAUUGGAAAACUAGCAAAACGACUUCCUCAACUAUUUGCCAAAGAUGUUGCACUAAUUCAAAGACUCUUCCAAGCUCUCUGCCAGGAAGAAUCUGAUACCCGUUUAUCAGUCCAGGAGGCUCUCUCCAUGAUGGCUCCAUCAUACAGAAAGGCAGACGCAGCUAUUCUAGCCUUGAUAGAGUCUCUUAUACUCAACUAUGUAC